CUGUACCUUUGUGAGACUUGUAUUUGUGAGAGAAAUUUUAAAAGGUAUAAAAAUUGAUGCAUUAUAUGGGAAAGUCACUCUCGUUUUAGUUUCCCUUAAAGCAACACCAGGUACUGAGCAUUACAAAGUAACAAGAAUGAACAACACUAAGCAAAACAGACUUUUAUGGCUAAGUAAUGCCCUACUGAAGGACAUGAACAGGCAUCAAAGAACAGUGGAAACUAUGACGGCAUUGGCCCAAGUAUGUUCUGAUGAAGCAUUACGGGUCGCAAACAACGGUAGGAAAUCCAGCCUUCACAGCAUGUUCAUACAUGCAGGAGUUUUUGGAAUGUUCUGGUUGUACAGAUGGCAUACAAAGGAGUGCAUUCUAGACCGUGCAGCAGAAAUAGAAUGAAUAAUCGACAAACUUCAACUGCCGACUGCUUUCAAUUAUGAUUCAAUCUAUGAGCAAAUGAGUGUUGAAGUUACUGGUAUGGGCGAUGCCUCUAUGGAAGUGGCUUACAGAUUGAUGUUAGGGGACGACCAUAGAGUUUUCAGAAGUCAGUGAUAUCUUGUGUCUUGACAAGUUCUAUCUCGGCUGCAAACUGUUUGGAUGAAACAAGCUAGUUUUUGUGUGGAAAAAUUUGAGCAGUGUUUGAAUUAAAAGAGCUUUUUAACGUGCUUCAAAUAUUGAGGUUUUAAUUUAAAAUGUUUGUGUUUGUGUUGCAAAAUCAGUUUGCUAUUCAUUUUUGUUGCGAUUUGCAUAUAAAAUCAAAACCAAAUAAGUUAGAUAAACUCUAGAAAUAUGAUUAUUUUGCAUUUUAUUGCAUAAUUAUCAUGCAUAAUUUGCUCAGUAUCUGAAAAAGCUUUUUUAUAUCAAUUAAAUAAUUCAUAAUAUUGCAUGAUACAAUUGCACCUUUCUGUACAGAUUAAAAUUUUCUAUAGUUGUAAAUACGAGCUCUAUAUUCUAAUUGAUCAAAUAUUUACCAAAAAGCA